GAUGAACGCUGGCGGCGUGCCUAAUACAUGCAAGUCGAGCGAACAGACGAGGAUCUUGCUCCUCUGACGUUAGCGGCGGACGUGUGAGUAACACGUGUAUAACCUACCUAUAAGACUGGUAUAUCUUCGGGAAACCGGAGCUAAUACCGGAUAAUAUAUUGAAGCACAUGGGUGAAUAGUGAAAUACGGUUUUGCUGUCACUUCUCGAUGGAUACGAGCCGCAUGGGCUAGUUGUUAAGGUAAAGGGUUAGCAAGGGAACGAUGCGUAGACGAAGUGAGAGAGGGGUCGGCCGCACUGGAAGUGAGACACGGACCAGACUACUGCGGGAGGGAGCAGUAGGGAAUGGUACGCAACGGGCGAGAGUCUUACGGAGCGACGGGGAGUGAGUGAUGAAGGUCUUCGGAGCGUAAAACUGUGUUAUGAGGGAAGAACAAAUGUGUAAGGAAAUAUGCACGUCUUGACGGUAACUAAUCAGAAAGCCACGGCUAACUACGUG
rnacentral:rRNA from 1 species